ACAUUUUUAAACACAAAUACAGACACAUAUAUUGUAUACGUAUACAUACUUAAGGGCGUCUACAUACUUAAUGGACAAUUUAGUUAUUUUGAUAGUUCUCUUUCUAUUCCUCAAAAAACCCUUUCUCUUCUUCCUGAAUGCUUCUCCAUCUUCUUCUCUUCGUUUCUCCAUCUUCUUCUCCACUGAGAGCAAUUUAUGUCGUUUCUUACUUCUCUUCUUUUCUUCCUCGUUGUCGCUUGCUCUUGUUGCAUCUGAUUUUUGUGCUUUUGCGUCGCUCGCUUGUUGACGCUCAUAUGUGCGAUAGUUAUAGGUUGUUGGGUAUUUUCAUUGUAAGUUUACUUCUCUCUAUCAUUGUUGUUGCUUCUUUGUAUGAUUAUUGUUUCCUUCAAUUUAGGGUUUUUAGUUAUUGAUUUAGGGUUUCUAUUUUUGGCUUCUUCAUUUCAAUUUAGGCUGAUAUAUGAUUUUUGGUUUUUAGGGUUUCUAUUUUUGGCUAGAUUGAUUGUUUUAUUGCUUUAUAUUUUAGACAUAAUGAUUUUGCUUUAUAUGCUUAAAUGUUGAUAUUCAUUCCAUUGUUUCCUUUGGAUGUUGUUGAUAUUUCUUCCAUUGUUGCUUUAUAUGCCUAAAUGCUUUAUAUUUUAGACAAAAUUAUUUUGCUUUAUAUUCUAG
rnacentral:lncRNA from 1 species